GUGAGCUGGCGUGAGGUCUGCACUGGGCCGCGCCCCUGCAGGGAGACCCCCGGGCGCUGGGGCAGCUAACCAUAGGGGCUUCGUGGCUGCCUCGCUGCAGGGGCUGUGAGUGUUCCUUAGCGCUCUUGGCCCUGGAAGGGCUGGGGUGGGCUCUGCCCGUCCUGGCCCCUCUGAGCGUCUCAGUAGGAGUUGGAGCCCUCACACCUCACUUGCAUAGACCACUUUGUACAAUUCUACUUAAAAGGCUAUAAUCCCAUGAGUACUUAGGGAUCCAGACCGUGGUUCCGUCUCAAAGCAUCCAUGUUUUUCCCCACCUGCAACCAGGCCUGCUGAUUACUCCGGACCCUCACCAGCAGCCCAGUGGCCUGCACGACGUUUCCUCCACUUCAUACCAGCUUCAGCUCUACCUAAUCUCCCCGAAAUGGCUUCUGGUUCAUCACUGAAAAGCCUCCCGGGGAAGGGCUGUGUGUUCACUGUCAAACUUGGACCCUGCCCCCCUGUGCCUUGCGGGCACCCAUGGGAUGAACAGUCACAGGGCUGAAAACUCUAGCUGCCUCAGGCUUGGUGUGAAGAUGAGCAAGUUAGACACAAGCGCGUGCGUGUAAAACCGAGGGACUGUGAACAGGGUCAAAGGAGUGUGCUGGCACUGCCGUCGGACGUGAGGCUGCAGUCAGGCGCCUUUCCUGCCUGGUACCACGGGAGCAGCUGGGCGAAGCGGGCAGGGAGCCCUUUAUGACCCCUCACCACUGCAUCUGUCGUCGUUCAGUCGCUGAGCUGUGUCCGACUCUUCAUGACCCCACGAACCGCAGCAAGUCAGGCUCCUCUGCCCUUCACGACCUCCCAGAGUUAGUGCAAACCCAUGUCAGUUGAUUCAGUGAUGCCAUCCAAUACCUCAUUCUAAC
ensembl:lncRNA